rnacentral:rRNA from 1 species
AUUGAACGCUGGCGGAAUGCUUUACACAUGCAAGUCGAGCGGCAGCGCGGGGCAACCUGGCGGCGAGCGGCGAACGGGUGAGUAAUACAUCGGAACGUGCCCAGACGUGGGGGAUAACUACUCGAAAGAGUGGCUAAUACCGCAUACGAUCUACGGAUGAAAGCGGGGGAUCGCAAGACCUCGCGCGUCUGGAGCGGCUGAUGGCAGAUUAAGUAGUUGGUGGGAUAAAAGCCUACCAAGCCAACGAUCUGUAGCUGGUCUGAGAGGAUGAUCAGCCACACUGGGACUGAGACACGGCCCAGACUCCUACGGGAGGCAGCAGUGGGGAAUUUUGGACAAUGGGCGAAAGCCUGAUCCAGCCAUUCCGCGUGCAGGAUGAAGGCCCUCGGGUUGUAAACUGCUUUUGUACAGAACGAAAAGCUCUGGCUAAUACCUGGAGUCCAUGACGGUACUGUAAGAAUAAGCACCGGCUAACUACGUG